CCUACGGGAUGCUGCAGUGGGGAAUAUUGCACAAUGGGCGCAAGCCUGAUGCAGCCAUGCCGCGUGUGUGAAGAAGGCCUUCGGGUUGUAAAGCACUUUCAGCGGGGAGGAAGGCGGUGAGGUUAAUAACCUCAUCGACUGACGUUACCCGCAGAAGAAGCACCGGCUAACUCCGUGCCAGCAGCCGCGGUAAUACGGAGGGUGCAAGCGUUAAUCGGAAUUACUGGGCGUAAAGCGCACGCAGGCGGUCUGUCAAGUCGGAUGUGAAAUCCCCGGGCUCAACCUGGGAACUGCAUUCGAAACUGGCAGGCUAGAGUCUUGUAGAGGGGGGUAGAAUUCCAGGUGUAGCGGUGAAAUGCGUAGAGAUCUGGAGGAAUACCGGUGGCGAAGGCGGCCCCCUGGACAAAGACUGACGCUCAGGUGCGAAAGCGUGGGGAGCAAACAGGAUUAGAUACCCCUGUAGUC
rnacentral:rRNA from 1 species